GUCUACAGCCAUACCACCCUGAGCACACCCAGCCUCGUCUGGUCUUGGAAGCUAGGCAGGGUCUGUCCUGGUUAGUACUUAGAUGAGAGAACCCUAGGUGUGGCUCCACUGGUAGCAGUGUUCU
rnacentral:rRNA from 1 species